CCUCCCCUUCCUUUCCUUUUCCCCUCCCCCGCGGUGGAUGAUGUGGAUUAAUUCGAUGCAACGCGAAAAACCUUACCUACCCUUGACAUGUCAGGAAUCCUGGAGAGAUCUGGGAGUGCCCGAAAGGGAGCCUGAACACAGGUGCUGCAUGGCUGUCGUCAGCUCGUGUCGUGAGAUGUUGGGUUAAGUCCCGCAACGAGCGCAACCCUUGUCAUUAGUUGCUACAUUCAGUUGAGCACUCUAAUGAGACUGCCGGUGACAAACCGGAGGAAGGUGGGGAUGACGUCAAGUCCUCAUGGCCCUUAUGGGUAGGGCUUCACACGUCAUACAAUGGUACAUACAGAGGGCCGCCAACCCGCGAGGGGGAGCUAAUCCCAGAAAGUGUAUCGUAGUCCGGAUCGCAGUCUGCAACUCGACUGCGUGAAGUUGGAAUCGCUAGUAAUCGCGGAUCAGCAUGUCGCGGUGAAUACGUUCCCGGGUCUUGCACACACCGCCCGU
rnacentral:rRNA from 1 species